AGGAGCUGCAUCACCCAUGCAUAUUUACAAGAGAUUUUUGUCUCUAACCUGACUCAUUUAACAGGAACAACAUGUCCAUAUGCCAGAACAUGGGCUGGCCCAUAAAUCACAUCCUGCCCUUCUCUGAACAAUCCAGUGUGUCUGUCAUGUGUCGAGCCUAACAAAACACUGAGAAGCAGUCCAUAAUCCUAAAUCCAUUUAUUUGUGUAAAGUCUCCAUUUACUGAGUUCCUGGCAUUUUGUAUAAUACCUAUGUACUAACACUUGGAAGUAUAAGAGGAGUAGUUGAGGUUUUAUCAAGAUUUGAGUAUUGAAAUCUUAUUAAGAUAUGAAAAAAAUGCACAUUCUUCCUCUGCCAAAAGAGAUCUAGGUACCAAGAUAAAAUAUGGCUUCUGUUUUCCACAUACAUAAAAUUUCCACGUGCAGUGUUGAUAACUUUGAGGAUUGUAUAGAUAAUGAAAACUGCGCUAGUUGCCACAGGUCUACCUUUAGUCAAGAUGAAAAAGAAAUCACCACUAAAGAAUAUAGAUGGGAACAGAGACAAACUUUAGUCCUAGUAGACUUGACUUUAUGUAACCCACAGUUUUUCUUUACUUUAUUUGCAGCUGAAGUUGAUCCUGGAAAGAGAAUCUUUAGGGAGAGAACAUUGUUUUCUUUCCCAGAACAUCGUGUCGGGCAGUGUCUCCAACUGCUGACAUUUUGGAAACCAAAGCCAAAAGCAAUACAUCAAAUCAGCAGCUCCAGGCAGAGGACUGUUUCAAACCAAAAUGAUGUUUUAAUCUUGAAUCAAGCAAUGACUGCACAGCCUGCAAGAGGCCUGUUUUGGACAUUAGUUGUUAAUGUAAGUAAUAAUGAUAAUGAAUUGCCCACUUCAAUGUGUUAUACAUAUUUCUAA
rnacentral:lncRNA from 10 species